rnacentral:rRNA from 1 species
AGCGGACGCUGGCGGCAGGCUUAACACAUGCAAGUCGAGCGGGCAUCCUUGUGGUGUCAGCGGCAGACGGGUGAGUAACGCGUGGGAACGUGCCCUUCGGUUCGGAAUAACUCAGGGAAACUUGAGCUAAUACCGGAUACGUGCGAGAGCAGAAAGGUUUAUCUGCCGAAGGAUCGGCCCGCGUCUGAUUAGCUAGUUGGUGAGGUUAUGGCUCACCAAGGCGACGAUCAGUAGCUGGUCUGAGAGGAUGAUCAGCCACACUGGGACUGAGACACGGCCCAGACUCCUACGGGAGGCAGCAGUGGGGAAUAUUGGACAAUGGGGGCAACCCUGAUCCAGCCAUGCCGCGUGAGUGAUGACGGCCUUAGGGUUGUAAAGCUCUUUUCUCCGGGACGAUAAUGACGGUACCGGAGGAAUAAGCCCCGGCUAACUUCGUG